rnacentral:rRNA from 1 species
UACGGGGGGAGCAAGCGUUGUUCGGAUUUACUGGGCGUAAAGGGCGCGUAGGCGGCGUAACAAGUCACUUGUGAAAUCUCCGGGCUUAACCCGGAGCGGCCAAGUGAUACUGUUGUGCUAGAGUGCGGAAGGGGCUACUGGAAUUCUCGGUGUAGCGGUGAAAUGCGUAGAUAUCGGGAGGAACACCUGUGGCGAAAGCGGCUCACUGGACCACAACUGACGCUGAGGCGCGAAAGCUAGGGGAGCAAACAGG